AAAGAAAUGUGUUAGAUAUUAGAUUCACUGCAUGGCUAAACAAACAUCAUUGCAAUAAAAUAUAUCCUGUAACAAAUUAAUUCUCAAAAGGUUUGGACAUGAUGCCACACAGUAAAGGAAGGAUGGUGGUCACAUAAUACUCAGCUAAAGGAUUGAGAUGAGGAGCUCCCUCUGAAAGAAUAUAAACAUAUAAACUAGAAUAGAGGCAGAAUUUUAAAAAGUGUACACACACACACACACACACACACACACUUACUUACUUACUCUGUUUAUCUUUUCUAUGUUAUCAUGGAAAGUCAGGACUGAUGAAGAAAAAUUGAUCAAAGAAACAGGAUGUCAAUAAGGGGGAUUAAAAGGUAGGUGCAGGACAAUAUUUCCAUCUAUGGAUGAGACCAGAACUGGAGGCCAAAGCAAGAGAACACACUCCAGUGAAUGCAAAGUGAUGUUCAGGACAUACAGGACAUAGUGGUUGGAGUGUUGAAUUUUCUACCACAGCGAUACCUGUGAUGAAAGGCAGAAACGUAUCUAAAGGGAUCCUGGAUAAGAAAUUGAAGGAUUUUCACUUAUAGGAGGAGCAGAGAUCCAAAGACUCAAAACCCCACUUUCAGAGAAAGGAUUUCACCUCACCAGUGCCUUAAAUGGGUGAGGUCAGGUUCUAAAUUUCACCACAUGAGGAAAUAACCUCCUCUAAAUUCUGCCAAAUACAAGUCCAGCUGCCCAACUUUACCUCGCAAGACAAUCAGCCCAUUCCAAUGCUUCUUUUAAAUUAAAACUCUGAACCUCUUCCAACACAUUCUGUAAAUAUUUAAACUAUUAUGAAACACAGUACUUGAUGUGGUUUCUACUGUGUAAACUACAACUCCUACCUAUGUACUUAAUUUCCUAAAAUUAAACAAUAACAUUCUAUCAGCUUUCUUAAUUACCUGCAGUAUCUGCAAACUAGAUUUUGGAAAAUCACACACUAGAACAUCCUUAAACCUCAGAGCUCUGUACUCUGUCCCAAUUUGGAUUCAUUCCUUCAUUACGUGCUGGGUCGUAUAGCGUAGGCACUCAUGGUCUUUUCAAGACCAUGAUUAUUCUUGGGAAUUUUUUACUACAGAAGUGGUUUGCCAUUGCCGCCUUCUGGGCAGUGUCUUUACAAGACGGGUGACCCCAGCCAUGAUCAAUACUCUUCAGAGAUUGUCUGCCUGAUGUCAAUGGUCACCCAACCAGGACUUGCGAUCUGCACCAGAUACUCAUACGACCAUCCACCACCUGCUCCCAUGGCUUCACGUGACCCCGAUCGGGGGGUGAAGCAGGGGCUACACCUUGCCCAAGGGUGACUGCAGCCCAGAAGAGCGAAGGAGCAUCCUGCACCUCUUCUGGUAGAGACAGAUCCCACACUGCUUCCCAACCAUUUGAAUUAUGAGCUUUCUUUUUCUCAAAAUUUUCUUGCCGAAAUAGAGAAUUUUACAUUUUCCCACAUUAUAUUGCAUUUGCCAGAGCUUUGUCCACUCACUUAUCUAUAUCAGAUUAAAGCCUCCCUAUGUUCUCUUCACGAAUUACCUCCUUAUAUUUACUUGUGUCAACAAAUGUAACAACCAAAUCUUGGUGCCUUCAUCCAAGCUGUAUGAAACUGAAGUUCUAGCACUGAUGUUUGCAAUGCACUCCUCAAUAUAUCUUGCUGGCUACAGGAAUAUUGAUUUUUGCCUGCCCUCUAUUUCCUAUCUCCCUUUUAGUUGACAGGAGGGACUGCAGAUGCUGGAACCCGGAGGAACAAACAGUCUGCUGGAGGAAUUCAGUCGGGCGAACAUCUGUGGGAGGAAAGGAACUGCUGGCGCAUCAGGCCUAAAUGUGGAGAAACAAGAUGACUAAUAAAUAGGUAGUAAGAGAAUGGGAGUUGAGCAGCAACCAGAGGUGAGCCAAGGUGCUGGUAAAGGGGAAAGGGGGAAGAUGGAUGACGAGCAGAUUAGUCUAAGUUGGGGUUGGGGAAGGAGGAAUUUGGGUCAGACAAAAAAAAAAGGCAGACGGAGCCAGGUGGGGGUGAAGGGGAGGAACAAGGGUGGGGAAGGUGUUCAUUUUACCCCCUACACUGUAGAUAUGGUGAUUUGAUUGAACGGCAAAGGUAGCUGGUUAGCCUUUUCCUCACUGGAUGUGGUUAUUCUGCCUCAGUUUUGAAGGAUUGCAAGUGGAAUUCAACACUUGUGAACUUGCCCACUUCUGACCUACACUGGAAGGAAGAGCAUUGCUACAGUCAUUGAGGGCCCCAGAGCACCACUGGAAUCCAAGGAAGCUUAUUCCCAUUGGAUGAUAUUAGGCAUAGGAAUGAAAGGAAUGAGCGACCCCGGUCACCCUCAUAGAAAAGAAGAUUGGAAAGGGAUGAUGCACUGGCACUGGAUGCAGUGCAGAGAAAAGGACACAAGGAUGAUUCCUGGGAAGGCCUUUGAUGUAUGGAGAAAGAUUGAGUAAGUUGGGCCUGUAUUCAUUGCAGUUUAUAAGGAUUGCAGAUGAUCUUAUUGAAACGUGUAAAGUCUUGAGGGGGGAUUGACAUGAUGAAUGCUGACAUGAUGUUUUCCCUGCUGGGGUACUCUAGAAACAGGGUACGUAAUUCAAAGAAAAAGGAGUCACCCAUACAUAACGGGUGAGGAGGAAUUUCUUCUCUCAGGCUAUAAGACCAUUAGACCAUAAGAUAUAGGAGCAGAAUUAGGUCAUUUGGCCCAUCGAGUCUGCACCGCCAUUUUAUCAUGGCUGAUCCAAUUUUCCUCUCAGCCCCAAUCUCCUGCCUUCUCCCCGUAUCCCUUCAUGCACUGACCAAUCAAACAUCUUUCAAUCUCUGCCUUAAAUAUAAACACUUGGCCUCCACAGCUGCUUGUGGCAACAAAUUCAACAGAUUCACCACUCACUGGCUAAAGAAAUCCCUCCUCAUCUACAUUCUAAAAGGACACCCCUCUAUUGUGAGGCUGCGUCCUCUGGUCUUAGACUCACCCACCACAGGAAACGUCCUUUCCACACCCACUCCAUCAAAGUCUCCAUCAAAUGGUCAAAGGCUUUCCGAAAAUCCAAGUACACGACAUCAACUGAUCCUCCUUUGUCUAUCCUGCUUGUUUUAGGUAUUUCUUCAAAGUAUUCCAACAGAUUUUGUCAGGCAAGAUUUUCCCUUGAGGAAACCAUGCUGACCACAGCCUAUUUUAUCAAGUGCCUCCAAGUACUCUGAGAACUCAUCCUUAAUAAUCAACUCCAACAUCUUCCCAACCACUGAGGUCAGACUAACUGGCCUAUAGUUUCCUUUCUUCUGCUUCUCUUCCUUCUUGAAGAGUGGAGUGACAUUUGCAAUUUCCCAGUCUUCCAGAACCAUUCCAAAAUCCAGUGAUUCUUGAAAGAUCAUUUCUAAUGCCUCCACAACCUCUUCAGAAAUCUCAGGUAUACACCAUCUGGUCCAGGUAAUUUAUCUACUUUCAGAACUUCCAAUUGCCCAAGAACCUUCUCCCUAGUUACGGUAACUUCACACACUUCAUGACCCCGAUACCUGGAAUUUCCACCAUACUGUUAGUGUCUUCCACCGUGAAGGCUGAUGCAAAUUACCUAUUCAGUUUGUCUGCCAUUUCGUUGUUCCCCAUUACUUCCCCUCUAACAUCGUUUUCCAGUGGCUUGAUACCCACUCAUGCUUCUCUUUUACACUUUAUGUAUCUGAGGAAACUUUUGGCACCCUCUUUAAUAUUAUAGGCUAGCUUACUUUCAUAUUCCAUCUUUACCUUCUUAAUGACAUUUUUAGUUGCUUCUGUUGGUUUUUAAAAAGCUUUCCAAUCCUCUAACUUCCCACUAAUUUUUGCUCUAUUAUAUGCCCCUCUAUGGCUUUUACGUUGGCUUUGACUUCUCUUGUUAGUCACAGUUGUAUCACCUUGCGUUUGGAAUACUUCUUCCUCUUUAUAUAUCCUGUGCCUUCCAAAUUGCUUCCAGAACUUCCAGCCAUUGCUGCUCUGCUAUCAUUCUAGCCAGUGUCCUUUCCCAAUCAAUUCUGGUCGACUUCCCUCUCAUGCCUCUGUAAUUCCCUUUACUCCACUGUAAUACUGAUACACCUGACCUUAGCUUCUCCUUCUUGAAUUUCAGGAUGAAUUUGAUCAUACUAUGGUCACUUGCCCCUAAGGGUGAUUUACCUUCAGGUCUCUAAUCAAUUCUGGUUCAUUGCACAACAACCAAUCUAGAAUAGCUGAUCUUCAAGUGGGCUCAACCACAAAUUGCUCCAAGAAGCCAUCUUGUUGGCACUCCAGAGACUCUCCCUCCUGGAAUCCAGCUCCAACUUGAUUUUCCCAAUCUACCCGUAUACUGAAGUCCCCAAUGACGAUUGUAACUUUGCUGUUUUGGCAUGCGUUUUCUAUUUCCCAUUGUAAUUUGUAGGCCACAUUCUUACUACUGUUUGGGAGUUUACAUAUAACUCCCAUCAGGGCCUUUUUGCUCUUGCAGUUCCUUAGCUCUAUCCACAAUGAUUCAACACCUUCUGACCCUAUGUCACUUCUUUGUAUUGAUUUGAUUUCAUUUCUUACCAACAGAGCAAAACCGCCCCUUCUGCCUUCAUGCCUGUCCUUUUGAUACAAUGUGUAUCCUUGGACAUUAAGCUCUUCUUUCAGCCAUGAUUCAGCGAUGCCUACAACAUCAUACCUGUCAAUCUGUAACUGUGCUGCAAGUUCAUCUACCUUAUUCCGUAAACUGCACACAUUCAAACACAACAUCUUCAGUUUUGUAUUCACCCUUUUCAAUUUUGUCCACCUUUUACAUUGCAACUCAUCCUGUUGAAUGAAAUUUUGUCCUGUCAUCAGCCUCUCCUCACUACACAUUGCCUCUGCUUGCAAACCAGCCGCCUCGUCUUCAGCAUUAUUAUUUGCCUUUCCUAUGAUACUUCUUGCAUUUAAGUAAAUGCAGCUCAGGACGCUAAUCACACCACGUUCAACUUUUUGAUUCCUAACUUCGUCUGAAGUCUUACCAACAUCUGCCUCCACUAUUUCUCCAUUAAAUGUUCUGACACUCUGGUUCCCGCCCCCCUGCAACCCUAGUUUAAACCCCACCGUGCAGAAUUAAUAAACCUUCCUUCUAGGAUAUUAGUUCCCCUCCAGCUCAGGUGCAAACCGUCUCUUCUGUACAGGGUGUAUCCUCCCUGGACGAGAGCCUAUUGAUCUAGAAAUAUUAUGCCUUCCCUCCUACACUGACUCCUAAGCCAUGUAUGUAACUAUAUAAUCUUCCUAGUUCUGGUCUCGUUAGCACUCAGCACAGGUAUUAAUCCUGAGGUCACAACGCUAGGGUCCUGCUGUUUAACUUAGCACCUAACUCCCUGAACUUCCUAUGCAGAACCUCAUCACUUGUCCUACCCAUGUCAUUGGUACCUACAUGGAUCCUAACUUCUGGCUGUUCAUCCUCUCACCUUAGAAUGCUGAGGACUCAAUUGCCCACAAACAUCCUGUUUAUUCUCUUAACUAAUGAAUCCCCUAUCACCACAGUGUGAGAUCUUCUCCCCUCUUCCCUUCUGAGUCACAGAGGCAGACUCAGUGCCAGAGACUCACCCACUGUGAAACUCCUCUGUUUGGUUACCAUCCCCCCAACAUUCCAACAGUAAACAAAGUGAUAUACUGUUGUUGAGGGGAAUGGGUACUCUGCACUGGCUCCUUAAUCUCUUUCCCCUUCCUGACUGUCACCCAGUUUCCUGUAUCCUGCACCUUGGGUGUAACUACCUAUCGAUAUGUCCCAUCUAUUGUCUCCUUAGGCUACCGAAUGAUCCGUUGUUCAUUCAGUUCCAGCUCUAACUCCUUAACACUCUGCUUAUUAGAAGGGCAUAAGUAUUUGCACAGCUUGCUGAAUUUCAAACUAAAUUUCAUCAUUUCAUGCUUUGUGUUUAAAGAUUGUUUUCA